rnacentral:rRNA from 1 species
UACGGAGGGUGCAAGCGUUAUCCGGAUUCACUGGGUUUAAAGGGAGCGUAGGUGGGUUGGUAAGUCAGUGGUGAAAUCCCCGAGCUUAACUUGGGAACUGCCAUUGAUACUAUCAGUCUUGAAUAUUGUGGAGGUCAGCGGAAUAUGUCAUGUAGCGGUGAAAUGCUUAGAUAUGACAUAGAACACCAAUUGCGAAGGCAGCUGGCUACGCAUAUAUUGACACUGAGGCUCGAAAGCGCGGGGAUCAAACAGG